UAAGCCAACGGACAGUGUAAGCCAAUGGACAGUGUAAGCCAACGGACAGUGUAAGCCAAUGGACAGUGUAAGCCAACGGACAGUGGAUGACACUCUGGCAUUGUCACACCUUGCCACUUUUUGCUGGUCUUCGUUGGACUUUGCUGACACUGGUCUUCCCUGAUGAUGACGCUCUCUCACUGGUUUGCCUUGGUUUCUUCACUGAUCAUCGUUUGUCUUAACUUCAUAGAGAGGAGAAGCACAUCGAAGAACUUCUUGUGAUAGCCCCUCAGCUUCUGGCUGGUUCUGUGGACUCAGGUCCAUUGGCAGUUCUAGAUCAUACUGACAUUGCUGAUUUGUGAAUGGUGUUUUCAAUCCAUCUACCGCUGCUGAUUCAUGUGAACUGAACUGCUGAUAUCCUGACAAUGAAGACUGGAAUCCCACCAAAGAACUACUUCUAAACAGGCCCACAUCCCCCUUUGCCUUAUUAACCUUUCCUUUACACUGCCUCUGUUGGAUGGUGGCCUGGAAGGAGGUUAAAGUAUUUAAGAACCCUCAUUAAAGUAGGUUUUGAAAAAUAUAGCCUACACCCCACUGUGUGUCAGGAGGAAGGCACGGUGUCGAAGAAUCAAACUAAGCACACCUAAACCUGAAAGGUGAAUGAACAUGGUAAGUCCAAAGCAAGAGGAUGUCGCCAGCAAAGAAAGGGCUAAAGAGGAAAAAUAAUAUGUUCCUAUAAAUAUGAAAACAGAGGUAAUGAAGACACACAUGUUGGAGUUUUUGCUGUCUAGCACAUGAUUUUGACCACCUUCCUAUCUCAGACUUGUGGCUCUAUAGGACUGUACUGGCUGGUUUUGCAUGUCAUCUUGACACAGGCUGGAGUUAUCACAGAGAAGGGAGCUUCAGUUGGGGAAGUGCCUCCAU